rnacentral:rRNA from 1 species
AGUCACUGACAUUAGAUACCCCGGUAGUCCCAGCCGUAAACUAUGCGCGUUAGGUGUACUGGUGACCACGAGUCACCGGGGUGCCGAAGGGAAACCGUGAAACGUGCCGCCUGGGAAGUACGGUCGCAAGGCUGAAACUUAAAGGAAUUGGCGGGGGAGCACCACAACGGGUGGAGCUUGCGGUUUAAUUGGAUUCAACGCCGGAAAUCUUACCGGGACCGACAGCAAUAUGAAGGCCAGGCUGAAGACUUUGCCGGAUUAGCUG